rnacentral:rRNA from 1 species
UACGUAGGCAGCGAGCGUUGUUCGGAGUUACUGGGCGUAAAGGGUGUGUAGGCGGGCUAGCAAGUGGUGUAUGAAAGCUCCCGGCUCAACCGGGAAGGGUUAUGCCAGACUGUUAGUCUUGAGUGCGAGAGAGGAGCGUGGAAUUCCGGGUGUAGUGGUGAAAUGCGUAGAGAUCCGGAGGAACCCCAGAGGCGAAGGCGGCGCUCUGGCUCGCAACUGACGCUCAGACACGACAGCAUGGGGAGCGAACGGG